UACGUAGGGACCAAGCGUUGUUCGGAUUUACUGGGCGUAAAGGGCGCGUAGGCGGCGUGGUAAGUCAAUUGUGAAAUCUCCGAGCUUAACUGGGAACGGUCAAUUGAUACUGCUGUGCUAGAGUGCAGAAGGGGCUAUCGGAAUUCUUGGUGUAGCGGUGAAAUGCGUAGAUAUCAAGAGGAACACCUGAGGUGAAGACGGGUUGCUGGGCUGACACUGACGCUGAGAAGCGAAAGCAUGGGGAGCGAACAGG
rnacentral:rRNA from 1 species